GAUGAACGCUGGCGGUAGGCUUAACACAUGCAAGUCGAACGGAAGCGCCGUGAGCUUUUGGUGUGCGCGAGUGGCGAACGGGUGAGUAACACGUGUGUAACCUGCCCUUGACUGUGGGAUAACUUCACGAAACUCGGGCUAAUACCGCAUAGGAGAUCCGGCUGCAUGGGGGGGGUUGGAUAGUUUCGGCUGUUGGGGAUGGAGGCGCGGGUGAUCGGCUGGUUGGUGAGGGGGUGGCUUACCAAGGCUUUUGCGGGUAGCCGGCCUGAGAGGGGGACUGGGCACCUUACCACUGUGAUACGGCCCAGACUCCUACGGGAGGCAGCAGUGGGGACUAUUGCACGAUCCGCCGAAGCCUGAUGCAGCAACGCCGCGUGCGGGAUGACGGCCUUCGGGUAGUAAACCGCAUUCGGCUAUGACGAAGCUUGAGUGCCGGUAACGGGUGAAGAAGCACCGGCUAACUACGUG
rnacentral:rRNA from 1 species